rnacentral:rRNA from 1 species
GACGAACGCUGGCGGCGUGCCUAAUACAUGCAAGUCGAACGCUGAAGCGCGGAGCUUGCUCUUCUUGGAUGAGUUGCGAAAGGGUGAGUAACGUGUAGGUAACCUGCCUUGUAGCGGGGGAUAACUAAUUGAAACGAUAGCUAAUACCGCAUAACAAUGGCUGACACAUGUCAUUUAUUUGAAAGGGGCAAUUGCUCCACUACCAGCUGGACCUGCGUUGUAUUAGCUAGUAGGUGAGGUAAUGGGUCACCUAGGCGGCGAUUCAUAGCCGACCUGAGAGGGUGAUCGGCGACACGGGGACGGAGACACGGCCCAGGCUCCUACGGGAGGCAGCAGUAGGGAAUGUGCGGCAAUGGGGGCGACCCUGGCAGAGCAACGCCGCGUGAGUGAAGAAGGUUCUCGGAGCGUAAAGAUCGGUUGUAAGUCGAGAACGGGUGUGAGAGUGGAAAGUUCACGCUGUGACGGUAGCUUAACAGAAAGGGACGGCUAACUACGUG